rnacentral:tRNA from 4 species
GCCCUGGUGGUGGAACUGGUAGACACGCAGGACUUAAAAUCCUGUGUUCGUAAGAACGUGCGGGUUCAAGUCCCGCCCGGGGUACAA